GACGAACGCUGGCGGCGUGCUUAACACAUGCAAGUCGAACGGAAAGGCCCUGCUUUUGUGGGGUGCUCGAGUGGCGAACGGGUGAGUAACACGUGAGUAACCUGCCCUUGACUUUGGGAUAACUUCUGGAAACUGGGGCUAAUACCGGAUAGGAGCUCCUGCUGCAUGUUGGGCGUUGGAAAGUUUCGGCGGUUGGGGAUGGACUCGCGGCUUAUCAGCUUGUUGGUGGGGUAGUGGCUUACCAAGGCUUUGACGGGUAGCCGGCCUGAGAGGGUGAACGGCGACAUUGGGACUAAGAGACGGACCAGACGCCUACGGGAGGCAGCAGUGGGGAAUAUUGCAGAAUGGGCGGAAGCCUGAUGCAGCAACGCCGGGUUCGGGAUGCCGGCCUUCGGGUUGUAAACAGCUUUCGCCGGUGACGAAGCGUGAGUGACGGUAAUGGGUAAAGAAGCACCGGCUAACUACGUG
rnacentral:rRNA from 1 species